GACAGAGGGUGCAAACGUUUGUUCGGAAUUACUGGGCGUAAAGCGCGUGUAGGCGGCUAUGUAAGUCGGGCGUGAAAUCCCACGGCUCAACCGUGGAAGUGCACCCGAAACUGCGUAGCUAGAGUCCUGGAGAGGAAGGUGGAAUGCUUGGUGUAGAGGUGAAAUUCGUAGAUAUCAAGCGGGAACACCGGUGGCGAAGGCGGCCUUCUGGACAGUCGACUGACGCUGAGACGCGAAAGCGUGGGGAGCAAACAGGG
rnacentral:rRNA from 1 species